rnacentral:rRNA from 1 species
AUUGAACGCUGGCGGCAGGCUUAACACAUGCAAGUCGAGCGGGGUGAUGGUGCUUGCACUAUCACUUAGCGGCGGACGGGUGAGUAAUGCUUAGGAAUCUGCCUAUUAGUGGGGGACAACAUCUCGAAAGGGAUGCUAAUACCGCAUACGUCCUACGGGAGAAAGCAGGGGAUCACUUGUGACCUUGCGCUAAUCGAUGAGCCUAAGUCGGAUUAGCUAGUUGGUGGGGUAAAGGCCUACCAAGGCGACGAUCUGUAGCGGGUCUGAGAGGAUGAUCCGCCACACUGGGACUGAGACACGGCCCAGACUCUUACGGGAGGCAGCGGUGGGGAAUAUUGGACAAUGGGGGGAACCCUGAUCCAGCCAUGCCGCGUGUGUGAAGAAGGCCUUAUGGUUGUAAAGCACUUUAAGCGAGGAGGAGGCUCUUUUGGUUAAUACCCAAGAUGAGUGGACGUUACUCGCAGAAUAAGCACCGGCUACCUCUGUGCCAGCCGCCGCCGUAA